GACCGAUAGUGAACCAGUACCGUGAGGGAAAGGCGAAAAGAACCCCGGAGAGGGGAGUGAAAUAGAACCUGAAACCGUAUGCGUACAAGCAGUGGGAGCCUACUUUGUUAGGUGACUGCGUACCUUUUGUAUAAUGGGUCAGCGACUUAUUUUCAGUGGCAAGCUUAACCGAAUAGGGGAGGCGUAGCGAAAGCGAGUCUUAAUAGGGCGUCUAGUCGCUGGGAAUAGACCCGAAACCGGGCGAUCUAUCCAUGGGCAGGUUGAAGGUUAGGUAACACUGACUGGAGGACCGAACCGACUACCGUUGAAAAGUUAGCGGAUGACCUGUGGAUCGGAGUGAAAGGCUAAUCAAGCUCGGAGAUAGCUGGUUCUCCUCGAAAGCUAUUUAGGUAGCGCCUCAUGUAUCACUGUAGGGGGUAGAGCACUGUUUCGGCUAGGGGGUCAUCCCGACUUACCAAACCGAUGCAAACUCCGAAUACCUAUGAGUACUAUCCGGGAGACAGACUGCGGGUGCUAACGUCCGUAGUCAAGAGGAAAACAAUCCAGACCGCCAGCUAAGGCCCCAAAAUCAUAGUUAAGUGGGAAACGAUGUGGGAAGGCAUAGACAGCUAGGAGGUUGGCUUAGAAGCAGCCACCCUUUAAAGAAAGCGUAAUAGCUCACUAGUCGAGUCGGCCUGCGCGGAAGAUGUAACGGGGCUAAAACUAUGUGCCGAAGCUGCGGAUGUAACUUUAAGUUACGUGGUAGGGGAGCGUUCUGUAAGCCGAUGAAGGUGGAUUGAGAAGUCUGCUGGAGGUAUCAGAAGUGCGAAUGCUGACGUGAGUAACGACAAAACGGGUGAAAAACCCGUUCGCCGAAAGACCAAGGGUUCCAGUCCAACGUUAAUCGGGGCUGGGUGAGUCGACCCCUAAGGCGAGGCCGAAAGGCGUAGUCGAUGGGAAAUUGGUUAAUAUUCCAAUACUUCUGUGUAAUGCGAUGAGAGGACGGAGAAGGUUAGGUCAGCCUGGCGUUGGUUGUCCAGGUGGAAGACAGUAGGCAUGCAUCUUAGGCAAAUCCGGGGUGCUCUAUGCUGAGAGUCGAUAGCAAGCUAGUUUACUAGCGAAGUGGCUGAUACCAUACUUCCAAGAAAAGUCUCUAAGCUUCAGUUACACAGGAAUCGUACCCGAAACCGACACAGGUGGUCAGGUCGAGUAGACCAAGGCGCUUGAGAGAACUCUGCUGAAGGAACUAGGCAAAAUGGUACCGUAACUUCGGGAGAAGGUACGCUGUUGAUGGUGAUGGGACUUGCUCCCUGAGCGAUUGACAGCCGCAGAAACCAGGCCGCUGCAACUGUUUAUUAAAAACAUAGCACUCUGCAAACACGAAAGUGGACGUAUAGGGUGUGAUGCCUGCCCGGUGCUGGAAGGUUAAUUGAUGGGGUUAGCGUAAGCGAAGCUCUUGAUCGAAGCCCCAGUAAACGGCGGCCGUAACUAUAACGGUCCUAAGGUAGCGAAAUUCCUUGUCGGGUAAGUUCCGACCUGCACGAAUGGCAUAAUGAUGGCGGCGCUGUCUCCAGCAGAGGCUCAGUGAAAUCGAAAUCGCUGUGAAGAUGCAGUGUACCCGCGGCUAGACGGAAAGACCCCGUGAACCUUUACUGCAGCUUGACAUUGAACUUUGACCUUACUUGUGUAGGAUAGGUGGGAGGCUUUGAAGAUGGGACGCCAGUUCCAUUGGAGCCAUCCUUGAAAUACCACCCUGGUAAUGUUGAGGUUCUAACUCUGCCCCGUAAUCCGGGGCGAGGACCAUGUCUGGUGGGUAGUUUGACUGGGGCGGUCUCCUCCUAAAGAGUAACGGAGGAGUACGAAGGUGCGCUCAGCGUGGUCGGAAAUCACGCGUAGAGUAUAAAGGCAAAAGCGCGCUUAACUGCGAGACCCACAAGUCGAGCAGGUACGAAAGUAGGUCUUAGUGAUCCGGUGGUUCUGUAUGGAAGGGCCAUCGCUCAACGGAUAAAAGGUACUCCGGGGAUAACAGGCUGAUA
rnacentral:rRNA from 1 species